rnacentral:rRNA from 1 species
CCUACGGGUGGCAGCAGUGGGGAAUAUUGGACAAUGGGGGGAACCCUGAUCCAGCCAUGCCGCGUGUGUGAAGAAGGCCCUCGGGUUGUAAAGCACUUUCAGUGAGGAAGAACGCCUGGUGGUUAAUACCCAUCAGGAAAGACAUCACUCACAGAAGAAGCACCAGCUAACUCCGUGCCAGCAGCCGCGGUAAUACGGAGGGUGCGAGCGUUAAUCGGAAUUACUGGGCGUAAAGCGCGCGUAGGUGGCUUGAUAAGCCGGUUGUGAAAGCCCCGGGCUCAACCUGGGAACGGCAUCCGGAACUGUCAAGCUAGAGUGCAGGAGAGGAAGGUAGAAUUCCCGGUGUAGCGGUGAAAUGCGUAGAGAUCGGGAGGAAUACCAGUGGCGAAGGCGGCCUUCUGGACUGACACUGACACUGAGGUGCGAAAGCGUGGGUAGCAAACAGGAUUAGAUACCCGGGUAGUC